UGGGGAAUCUUGGACAAUGGGGGCAACCCUGAUCCAGCCAUGCCGCGUGAGUGAUGAAGGCCUUAGGGUCGUAAAGCUCUUUCGCCUGUGAAGAUAAUGACGGUAGCAGGUAAAGAAACCCCGGCUAACUCCGUGCCAGCAGCCGCGGUAAUACGGAGGGGGUUAGCGUUGUUCGGAAUUACUGGGCGUAAAGCGCACGUAGGCGGACCAGAAAGUUGGGGGUGAAAUCCCGGGGGCUCAACCCCGGAACUGCCUCCAAAACUAUUGGUCUAGAGUUCGAGAGAGGUGAGUGGAAUUCCAAGUGUAGAGGUGAAAAUUCGUAGAUAUUUGGAGGAACACCAGUGGCGAAGGCGGCUCACUGGCUCGAUACUGACGCUGAGGUGCGAAAAGUGUGGGGAGCAAAACAGGAUUAGAUACCCUGGUAGUCCACACCGUAAAACGAUGAAAUGCCCAGUCGUCGGGUAGCAUGCUAUUCGGUGACACACCUAACGGAUUAAGCAUUCCGCCUGGGGAGUACGGUCGCAAGAUU
rnacentral:rRNA from 1 species